CUUUGGGCACAGUUGUGUUGGUUUAGUUUUUGUUUGGUUUAGUUUUUGUGUAGUUUAGUUCUAGAAUCCUCUGACUUGUCCAGUGGUUCCGCAGCCAUGAUUUCCUGGCGUUAGUAUAUAUAUGUUAAGUUUUCAAGGUGUAGUAUAAAAAUAUGAAAUGUGUCAAAGGAAAAUUAAGUUGAAUUUUCCUUAAUGCUUUAAGACUAAGAAAUUUCAGUAGUAUUUGAAAUUGUCUUAAAAAUCUAAUCAUACGAGAGUUAUCUAAUGAGGUCAGAAAUCCUGAGUUCUAAAGAAAUAAGGCUGGGCUGCCAAAUGGCUAGGCCUUUCUCCUGUUAACUUUCAAUUAGCCACCUUUUUAUGGUUCACUUUAUGAGAAAUAUUGUCAAAAAAAGAAGCCUUUCUGAGUGAUAUCCCUAAGAAUCAGAGUCCCCAGUGAGAUAUUUGGUAUCUUUUUUGUGUGGAAUAACAUCUUAACGAAAAGCUUGUGUUAGUUUUGCAAAAGACCAGUGUUCUUGGGACCUUUUACAUGGCAGGAUGUAGGACGGGAGCAUAUGCUAAACAGACAUCCUGUCACUAGGAGGGCAGUGCAGCUAAAACACAGUUUUAGCAAACCUGGAUGUUCAAAUUAUAUUGUACCCAGGUAUUUUAAAUGGAAGAGCUAUAAUUUAUAUAAAAUAUUUGUGUUUCACAUUUACAUAGAACAUGAUAAUUAUUUUCAAAUAUUAACAAAUUGGGCGGUCUUAAGGCAUUACAUUGUUUAAGGCUGUUGAGUCUGGUGAAUUACAUCAUUG